AAUAUGCCCAGCACUAAAAAUAUAGAGGAAUGUAUAGACCUGCCUUUAAGGAAUUUGUAGUCUAUUGGAGACAAGUAAACACACAGUUAUGAAAUUAUUUCGCACAGGAUGGGGGAUAUACCUGUGCACAGGAACCAUUGAAAUGGACACCUAAUUCAGUUUGGGGGAAAAGUUCACAGAAUAAUAACUAGUAUUAUUGUUGUAAUAAUAACUAGUGUUUAUUGCCUGCUUGCUACUGCCAAGAUUUGCUCUAAGUAUUUUGUAUGUGUUAAUGUAUUUGAUCCUUACAACAUCUCUACACAACUGGUAUUACUAUCAUAUCUAUUUAUAAAUGAGGAAACAGCCCGGGUGCAGAGGGAUCAUUGGGAACAUCCCUAAGGACACAUAGCCAGUAAGUGACUAAGCCAGUAUUUAAACUCAGGCUGACCAGCUCAGGAACCCAUGCUUUUAAAUGCCAUGUUAGAGGAGGUAGCAGCCAAGCCAAAUCUUGCAGAAAGAGAAUCAGAAGCUAAUUUAAGCUGUGUAUAGAGAACAUUCCAGACCAUGGACCUUGCGUUCAAAGUCAUGACAAAACCUUUCAGGAGAGAAGCAAAAGUAUGGAAUAAUAUUUAUGGCAAUAGAACCAGAAGCUAAUUGGCAGUAUUUAGAUAAGGGGGAAAUUGUGAAGUCAGUUUUUUGUUGUUGUUGCUAAGUCAGUUAAAAAGUGGAAAAAAUGAAAAGCAAGUCCUUUGCCUAGUUUUGGAAGCAUCUUUUCUAAAAAUAUAAAAUGACAAAUAUUUGGAGUUGGUAAUUUGAUGGGGCAAACACCCAAGAAGACAAAAAUGUCUUUUUUCCUGUUUUUCUUACAUAGUUAUUAGUUUUACCUUCUGCCAUAGAAGAGAAGAUUUUUCCACCCCACAGGUGUUCUUGGGUAAAUAACUCCAAGAAUCCCAGAGUCAGAUUUCUCCUUAUUUUCCUUCUUCUUUAUAAUACUUGUUUUUUACAUUUUUUACAACAUUUUAAGCUUAAAAAAUCUGACCUCUGCGUAAUAUAGGAAGAAGUUAAAGCUACGGUGGAUUAAGGUUAGAGUCAAAAAGUUAUUAGAAAUGUUCAGAUCCUAAUUUCCCAUUUUCCAGAUUUGGAAACUGAGAUUGAGGCAUUAAAUAAUUUGCCCAAGUUCAUACAACUAUUUAUGUCAAAACUGAGAUGUAACUUUGUAUCUCCUUGUUUCUAAUCACUGUUCCUUUUUACUUUUAUCUUGCUGUCUGCCCUUAAACAGAAGACUACCAUAAGUAAAUACCAGAGUAUCAUGUGGACAUUUAGGACAUUUCAGAAGCUUGUAGUCAGAAAGCAUGUUCUUGGGUUGUAAGAAUAUUUGGAGUGAAUCAGUAGUAUUUGGUAUGGUGCCCUUGGCCUUCUCGAGAUUUAGUUUGUUAUCCCAGUCCAUGUUUCAUAGAGCUGUACCCCUGUGGCCUCUUGAGAAGAGGCUCAGAAUUUCCGCUGUUUAAUAAU
rnacentral:lncRNA from 1 species